UACGUAGGGCGCAAGCGUUGUCCGGAAUUAUUGGGCGUAAAGAGCUCGUAGGCGGCCUGUCGCGUCCGCUGUGAAAUCCUGGGGCUUAACCCCGGGCGUGCAGUGGAUACGGGCUGGCUAGAGGCAGGCAGGGGAGAACGGAAUUCCCGGUGUAGCGGUGAAAUGCGCAGAUAUCGGGAGGAACACCGGUGGCGAAGGCGGUUCUCUGGGCCUGUUCUGACGCUGAGGAGCGAAAGCGUGGGGAGCGAACAGG
rnacentral:rRNA from 1 species